rnacentral:rRNA from 1 species
CCAGAUGCAAAACUUACAAACAGCAUCCGCCCGGGUACUACAAGCGCUAGCUUAAAACCCAAAGGACUUGACGGUGUCUCAGACCCGCCUAGAGGAGCCUGUUCUAGAACCGAUAAUCCCCGUUAAACCUCACCAUCUCUUGUUUUUCCCGCCUAUAUACCGCCGUCGCAAGCUUACCCUGUGAAGGGCCUACAGUAAGCAAAAUGGGCAAACCCCAGAACGUCAGGUCGAGGUGUAGCUCACGAGAUGGAAAGAAAUGGGCUACAUUUUCUAUAACAGAAUACUACGAACGGUACCAUGAAAUUAGUACCCGAAGGUGGAUUUAGUAGUAAAAGAA